AAAUACCCGGCGGGUGGUUCCUCCUCCCUCUGCCCGACGGGCGAAGCGGCCAGCAUUUCUCCGCUGGCCAAUAAAGGAAAAGGCCGGCACCUCCUCCCGCCGGCCUUUUUC
rnacentral:sRNA from 1 species